CCUACGGGAGGCAGCAGUGAGGAAUAUUGGUCAAUGGGCGCGAGCCUGAAUCAGCCAAGUAGCGUGAAGGAUGACUGCCCUACGGGUUGUAAACUUCUUUUAUAAAGGAAUAAAGUGAGGCACGUGUGCCUUUUUGUAUGUACUUUAUGAAUAAGGAUCGGCUAACUCCGUGCCAGCAGCCGCGGUAAUACGGAGGAUCCGAGCGUUAUCCGGUUUUCUUGGGUUUAAAGGGAGCGUAGAUGGGUUGUUAAGUCAGUUGUGAAAGUUUGUGGCUCAACCGUAAGAUUGCAAUUGAUACUGGCAGUCUAGAGUACAGUUGAGGUAGGCGGAAUUCGUGGUGUAGCGGUGAAAUGCGUAGAUAUCACGAAGAACUCCGAGUGCGAAGGCAGCUUACUAAACUGCCACUGACAUUGAUGCUCGAAAGUGUGGGUAGCAAACAGGAUUAGAUACCCUUGUAGUC
rnacentral:rRNA from 1 species